rnacentral:rRNA from 1 species
UACGGAGGUGACUAGCGUUGUUCGGAAUUACUGGGCGUAAAGCGCACGUAGGCGGCUUUGUAAGUCAGGGGUGAAAUCCCGGGGCUCAACCUCGGAACUGCCUUUGAUACUGCAAAUCUCGAGUCCGGAAGAGGUGAGUGGAAGUCCUAGUGUAGAGGUGAAAUUCGUAGAUAUUAGGAAGACCUCCAGUGGCGAAGGCGGCUCACUGGUCCGGUACUGACGCAGAGGUGCGCAAGCGUGGGGAGCAAACAGG